rnacentral:lncRNA from 1 species
GGCAAAGGGAGGGGGUAAUGUUUUUUUUUUAGUUUUAAGGGUAAUUUAACGGAUCCGAGAUACAUGUACUAGACAAACAAUACAUUUACCUCACACUUUUUAAGUAAUGCAUUAUGAGUGAAUCGUUGUUUGAGUAAAAACCAGUGGCAAACAUUUCUGUGCAAGUCAAGUCGAUUCGGAAAGACCUUAAUUUUCAAAUGAGUUAUGUGUUCGGCAAUGAUGCUGCUUUGAGUCUUGAUAAGGGCUUAAUAAAGCUACGUUAAGUUUAAAAAAAAUAAAUAUCAAGUUCAGACAAAUAUUUCUGUAAAGAACUUUAUCAAUAAUUGU